AGGUUAAGCUACAAAGAGCACACGGAGGAUGCCUAGGCGCCAGGAGCCGACGAAGGACGUGGCGAACAACGAUAAGGCCUCGGGGAGCUGUAAGCAAGCUUUGAUCCGGGGAUGUCCGAAUGGGGAAACCCGGCUGUCUUCAUCGACAGUCACUACUCACUGAAUUCAUAGGUGAGUGAGAGGCAGACCAGGGGAACUGAAACAUCUAAGUACCCUGAGGAAGAGAAAACAAUAGUGAUUCCGUCAGUAGCGGCGAGCGAACGCGGAUUAGCCCAAACCAAGGAGCUUGCUCCUUGGGGUUGUGGGACGUCUCACAUGGAGUUACAAAGGAACCGGUUAGAUGAAGAGGUCUGGAAAGGCCCGCCAGAGAAGGUAAAAGCCCUGUAGUUCAAAACUUGUUCUCUCCGAGACGGAUCCCGAGUAGUGCGGGGCACGUGAAACCCCGUAUGAAUCCGGCAGGACCAUCUGCCAAGGCUAAAUACUCCCUGGCGACCGAUAGUGAAGCAGUACCGUGAGGGAAAGGUGAAAAGCACCCCGGAAGGGGAGUGAAAUAGAUCCUGAAACCGUGUGCUUACAAGAAGUCAGAGCCCGAUCUAGGGGUGAUGGCGUGCCUUUUGUAGAAUGAACCGGCGAGUUACGUUCCCGUGCAAGGUUAAGGUGAAGAGCUGAAGCCGCAGCGAAAGCGAGUCUGAAUAGGGCGAAUGAGUACGUGGACGUAGACCCGAAACCGGGUGAUCUACCCCUGUCCAGGGUGAAGGUGCGGUAACACGCACUGGAGGCC
rnacentral:rRNA from 1 species